CUUCAAUAGUCUUUCCAUCGGGACACACCUGGAUCCAUACAACACUUGGCAAUUUAAGUAUGAAAAUACACACAGAUAUACAGUCUCGCACGGCCUGAAGCUAGUUUAACUCUUUGCUUCUACAGAAAUCCCUUGCUAUUGUGCUUCUGCACCCUAAAUUUUACAAACACCCAUCCUUGACCCNNNNNNCUCACUUCCCAUGCGCUAUCCUAAGUCUCCCUUCACGCCCUCAUAUACUAAAACAUUAAAAGUCCUUUACCACCUUUCCAUAAAAAAUAGUUUAAACAUGCAUUUUAAUGUUC
rnacentral:misc_RNA from 1 species